rnacentral:rRNA from 3 species
CGGCGAGUGAAGCGGCAACAGCUCAAAUUUGAAAUCUGGCUCCUUCGGGGUCCGAGUUGUAAUUUGCAGAGGAUGCGUCGGGUACGGGUCCCUACCGAGUUCCCUGGAACGGGACGCCAUAGAGGGUGAGAGCCCCGUCUGGUAGGACACCCAGCCCAUGUGACGCUCCCUCGACGAGUCGAGUAGUUUGGGAAUGCUGCUCUAACGGGAGGUAUACUCCUUCCAAAGCUAAAUACCGGCUGGAGACCGAUAGCGCACAAGUAGAGUGAUCGAAAGAUGAAAAGCACUUUGAAAAGAGAGUCAAACAGCACGUGAAAUUGUUAAAAGGGAAGCACUCGCUACCAGACUUGGGUUCGGCGGUUCAACCGGGGCCACGCCCCGGGGCAUUCCGCCGGCUCAGGCCAGCAUCAGCUUUCCGUCGGGGGCAAAGACGUCGGGAAUGUGGCUCCCCCUCGGGGGAGUGUUAUAGCCCGGCGUGUCAUACCCUUCGGGGGGCUGAGGUACGCGCUUCUGCAAGGAU